rnacentral:rRNA from 1 species
UUGUCUUUUAAAUAAAGACCCGUAUGAAUGGCAAGACGAGGGCUUAGCUGUCUCCUUUUUCAGGUCAAUGAAAUUGAUCUUUCCGUGCAGAAGCGGGAAUAUUAACAUAAGACGAGAAGACCCUAUGGAGCUUUAGACACCAAGACAGAUCACGUCAAAACCCCCUAACAAAGGAUUAAACUAACUGAACCCUGUCCUAAUGUCUUUGGUUGGGGCGACCACGGGGAACCACAAAACCCCCGCGUGGAAUGAAAGCACCACCCUGCUUUUACAACUAAGAGCCUCCGCUCUAAUAAACAGAAUUUCUGACCAACAAGAUCCGGCAACGCCGAUCAACGAACCGAGUUACCCUAGGGAUAACAGCGCAAUCCUCUUUUAGAGUCCAUAUCGACAAGAGGGUUUACGACCUCGAUGU